rnacentral:lncRNA from 1 species
UUUGGAAUGGUUAGAGAUAUUAGUAAAAGAAAAAUGGAAAAGUCUAUUACGUGCUGUUAAGAUUUUGUGCAGUACCUGUCUAGUAAAAACCUGAAUAUGCCUCAUAAAGUCGGGCAGACUCAACAAAACCUCAUGAGGACUUGGGGCAACAACCCUAGGGAGUACAGACUCUUAGAAAGAUAAUUGUACUAUCUGGUUAAAGGACUAAUUAUUACUCCUAUCACUUUAGUGUGGCUCAAGGUAAGCCCACCUUCCUGAGUGAUUGUCCCUUGGCCAAGCACAUGACUCAGCCCAACUGGAUUAAUUUGUAAGGGAGGAGACAAUGGCAUGCCUGCACCCAGAGGACAACUUGAGCAGAAUCUAAGAGAUUCCUUUAAUUACAAGGUGCAAAUGUCUGCUUGGCAUUAGAUUUGCUGUCUCUUUGGAAGGUGUGCCGCAUCUUUAGAAAAUCUGUAUCCUUUAUGCCUGCUGCUACCCCCAGAAUCUUAAGACAAGGGUAAGUUGUUUGAGAUAAGGAGUGCAGAUCCUUACAUUAAAGGUUCACUGAGUAGGCCCUGCUGAGUUUUAUGUGUAAGCAUUAGAACGUUUUAAUCAGUCUCCUUUCCUUCUGUAGGCUGGUGGGCUGACUCAAACUAAAGGAAACUGCAUGACCCCCUCCAGCAUUUUAAUAGCUUGGCUUGUCAUCUAUUAAGGAGCAAAUGGAAAUCGUAGGAGUGUAAUAGGAAAUGUUAUGGAUACGGGUGAUACAAGUAUAUGUGUUGCUUUAGGACAAGAAGGAAAGAACAUCUUUCCUUUUAGAUCAGCCUGACUGGUUGAUUUUUUUUUUAACAUUGCAUAGUGCUUUCAAGAGCUAACAUUCCAGGAAGCAUGUAUUGUAAGUAGGUAAAAACACCAGUUCUGCUCCAGUUUGUUGACAAGGCAUAAUCCUUUAUCUGCCCCCCAGCUCACUCUAAUUCUGAUUUCUCCUAUUUUGGAAUUUAUUGUAUGUCCAGUGUAUUUCAAGGCGGAAUUUAAGGGCUGUAAGAGAACCCACUCAUUUAGGACCCCUGAACAAUGUUGCAAAAUAUGGUUUUCUGUGGCCUAAUGCUAUGCGAUCAAGGGGCUAUCAACCAACAAUGGGGUAGCGUGGGAGAAAGAAAUGAUUUUUUUAAGCCAGGUUGUCUGUGUGUAGCUUUGGCUCUCCUCAAAUUCACAAGCUUCUGCCUUGCUGUGCCUCCUAAGUCUGCCUCGUGAGUGUUGAGGUGUGUGCCACCACACCUAACUUCAAACAUUCUCUUAACAUGAAUAGGAAAAAGGUUUUGUAACACAAGUUGCCCAGCUUAUCAGGUGUGUUUGAAAAUGUGAUAGGUCAGCUCUCCAGCCACUGGAGUAAUUGAUAACAAUGACUGUCGCUAAGCAGAAAUGGGCAGUUUUUCUGUUUCUUUAGCUUGGAGCCUGUUCAGCACGCUCAUGGACCCUCAUCUUUCUAUCAUCCCCUUCUCUUUUGGAGAUUCAACUCUCAGGGCACACUUUUUAUCCCUUAGUCCUACACUAUUCUAGAACUCAUUUAGCACAGGCCCACUUGUGAAGUGUUGAGAUUAAACUUGUCAGCCAUCACUCACAGUCUAGCAACAUGACUAAGCACGUAUUUUCUUUCUCUUUAUAUUUAAGGAUAUAAUUUUCAAAAGUUAAUGUAAGAAAGGUUUCCUUAAUAUCACAUCUAUAUUCCCC